rnacentral:rRNA from 1 species
GUCCUUUGGACAAUGGUAGGAGAGCGUUCUAAGGGCGUUGAAGCAUGAUCGUAAGGACAUGUGGAGCGCUUAGAAGUGAGAAUGCCGGUGUGAGUAGCGAAAGACGGGUGAGAAUCCCGUCCACCGAUUGACUAAGGUUUCCAGAGGAAGGCUCGUCCGCUCUGGGUUAGUCGGGUCCUAAGCUGAGGCCGACAGGCGUAGGCGAUGGAUAACAGGUUGAUAUUCCUGUACCACCUAUAAUCGUUUUAAUCGAUGGGGGGACGCAGUAGGAUAGGCGAAGCGUGCGAUUGGAUUGCACGUCUAAGCAGUAAGGCUGAGUAUUAGGCAAAUCCGGUACUCAUUAAGGCUGAGCUGUGAUGGGGAGAAGACAUUGUGUCUUCGAGUCGUUGAUUUCACACUGCCGAGAAAAGCCUCUAGAUAGAAAAUAGGUGCCCGUACCGCAAACCGACACAGGUAGUCAAGAUGAGAAUUCUAAGGUGAGCGAGCGAACUCUCGUUAAGGAACUCGGCAAAAUGACCCCGUAACUUCGGGAGAAGGGGUGCUCUUUAGGGUUAACGCCCAGAAGAGCCGCAGUGAAUAGGCCCAAGCGACUGUUUAUCAAAAACACAGGUCUCUGCUAAACCGUAAGGUGAUGUAUAGGGGCUGACGCCUGCCCGGUGCUGGAAGGUUAAGAGGAGUGGUUAGCUUCUGCGAAGCUACGAAUCGAAGCCCCAGUAAACGGCGGCCGUAACUAUAACGGUCCUAAGGUAGCGAAAUUCCUUGUCGGGUAAGUUCCGACCCGCACGAAAGGCGUAACGAUUUGGGCACUGUCUCAACGAGAGACUCGGUGAAAUCAUAGUACCUGUGAAGAUGCAGGUUACCCGCGACAGGACGGAAAGACCCCGUGGAGCUUUACUGUAGCCUGAUAUUGAAAUUCGGCACAGCUUGUACAGGAUAGGUAGGAGCCUUUGAAACGUGAGCGCUAGCUUACGUGGAGGCGCUGGUGGGAUACUACCCUAGCUGUGUUGGCUUUCUAACCCGCACCACUUAUCGUGGUGGGAGACAGUGUCAGGCGGGCAGUUUGACUGGGGCGGUCGCCUCCUAAAAGGUAACGGAGGCGCUCAAAGGUUCCCUCAGAAUGGUUGGAAAUCAUUCAUAGAGUGUAAAGGCAUAAGGGAGCUUGACUGCGAGACCUACAAGUCGAGCAGGGUCGAAAGACGGACUUAGUGAUCCGGUGGUUCCGCAUGGAAGGGCCAUCGCUCAACGGAUAAAAGCUACCCCGGGGAUAACAGGCUUAUCUCCCCCAAGAGUUCACAUCGACGGGGAGGUUUGGCACCUCGAUGUCGGCUCAUCGCAUCCUGGGGCUGUAGUCGGUCCCAAGGGUUGGGCUGUUCGCCCAUUAAAGCGGUACGCGAGCUGGGUUCAGAACGUCGUGAGACAGUUCGGUCCCUAUCCGUCGUGGGCGUAGGAAAUUUGAGAGGAGCUGUCCUUAGUACGAGAGGACCGGGAUGGACAUACCUCUGGUGUACCAGUUGUCGUGCCAACGGCAUAGCUGGGUAGCUAUGUGUGGACGGGAUAAGUGCUGAAAGCAUCUAAGCAUGAAGCCCCCCUCAAGAUGAGAUUUCCCAACUUCGGUUAUAAGAUCCCUCAAAGAUGAUGAGGUUAAUAGGUUCGAGGUGGAAGCAUGGUGACAUGUGGAGCUGACGAAUACUAA